rnacentral:rRNA from 1 species
GAGCCAGGAUCAAACUCUAGAGUUUGAUCAUGGCUCAGAUUGAACGCUGGCGGCAGGCCUAACACAUGCAAGUCGAGCGGAAACGACAAUAUUGACUCUUCGGAUGAUUUAUUGGGCGUCGAGCGGCGGACGGGUGAGUAAUGCCUGGGAAAUUGCCCUGAUGUGGGGGAUAACCAUUGGAAACGAUGGCUAAUACCGUAUAAUGCCUUCGGGCCAAAGAGGGGGACCUUCGGGCCUCUCGCGUCAGGAUAUGCCCAGGUGGGAUUAGCUAGUUGGUGAGGUAAUGGCUCACCAAGGCGACGAUCCCUAGCUGGUCUGAGAGGAUGAUCAGCCACACUGGAACUGAGACACGGUCCAGACUCCUACGGGAGGCAGCAGUGGGGAAUAUUGCACAAUGGGCGCAAGCCUGAUGCAGCCAUGCCGCGUGUAUGAAGAAGGCCUUCGGGUUGUAAAGUACUUUCAGUCGUGAGGAAGGUUCAUACGUUAAUAGCGUAUGGAUUUGACGUUAGCGACAGAAGAAGCACCGGCUAACUCCGUGCCAGCAGCCGCGGUAAUACGGAGGGUGCGAGCGUUAAUCGGAAUUACUGGGCGUAAAGCGCAUGCAGGUGGUUCGUUAAGUCAGAUGUGAAAGCCCGAGGCUCAACCUCGGAACUGCAUUUGAAACUGGCGGACUAGAGUACUGUAGAGGGGGGUAGAAUUUCA